GAGUUUGAUCCUGGCUCAGAUUGAACGCUGGCGGAAUGCUUUACACAUGCAAGUCGAGCGGCAGCGCGGGGCAACCUGGCGGCGAGCGGCGAACGGGUGAGUAAUGCAUCGGAACGUGUCCAUGUCGUGGGGGAUAGCCCGGCGAAAGCCGGAUUAAUACCGCAUACGCCCGAGAGGGGAAAGUGGGGGACCGCAAGGCCUUGCGCGAUUGGAUGAGCCGAUGUCCGAUUAGCUAGUUGGUGAGGUAAAGGCUCACCAAGGCGACGAUCGGUAGCUGGUCUGAGAGGAUGAUCAGCCACACUGGAACUGAGACACGGUCCAGACUCCUACGGGAGGCAGCAGUGGGGAAUAUUGGACAAUGGGCGCAAGCCUGAUCCAGCCAUGCCGCGUGUGUGAAGAAGGCCUCGGUUGUAAG
rnacentral:rRNA from 1 species